CUUGGUCAUUUAGAGGAAGUAAAAGUCGUAACAAGGUUUCCGUAGGUGAACCUGCGGAAGGAUCAUUACAGAGAAUAUGCCCUUCGGGGUAGACCUCCUACCCUUUGCUUACUUUACCUUUGUUGCUUUGGCAAGCCCGUCUACCGACCACCGGCUUUUUGCUGGUCAGUGCAUGUCAGAGGAUCUCAAAUUCUUAAUAUAAUAUUGUCCGAGUACUAUUUAAUAGUUAAAACUUUCAACAACGGAUCUCUUGGUUCUGGCAUCGAUGAAGAACGCAGCGAAAUGCGAUAAGUAAUGUGAAUUGCAGAAUUCAGUGAAUCAUCGAAUCUUUGAACGCACAUUGCACCCUCUGGUAUUCCGGGGGGUAUGCCUGUUCGAGCGUCAUUGCAACCCUCAAGCAUUGCUUGGUAUUGGAUGCCACUGCUGUGGUGCAUCUCAAAAGUAUUGGCGGUGGCAUUCAGCUUCUAGCGUAGUAAAUCUUCUCGCCUUGGAGUUUGAGUGUCUAACUGCCAGAACCCCUAAAUUUAUCAAAGGUUGACCUCGGAUCAGGUAGGGAUACCCGCUGAACUUAAGCAUAUCAAUAAGCGGAGGA
rnacentral:rRNA from 1 species